GUCCUGGAUCAGGUCGCCGCCGCCCUCCAUCACUUCGCCGCCGCGCUGAACUCCUCGCCCUUGAUCCAGGAUCCGGCGCCGAUCCUGGACGAGGAUAAGCGGACACGUCCAGGAUCCGGCCAGAACACGUCCCGGAUCCGAAAAAUAGGUAUACAAACCAUCUCAUACGUCAAUCGCAUCUCAUACAUCUCAAAUGCCAUACAAUCGCAUCUCAUACAUCUCACAGCCCAUACAUCCAUCGCAUGUCAUACAGCCAUGGCAAGUGCUUUCACAGGGAUGGAUCCGCCUGCAAGAUUGAUUUCUGUUCUACACAGUUUAGGUUUUUUUCCAUGUUAAAACUAGACUCAAGUACACAUGUUUACAGAUGGCAAUUGGCAAAAAAAAAUUACCAAGGGGUAUCCUGCAUCCUGCACUUGUAUAAAUAUGGCAAAAAAGAAAACACAAACCAUACAGGACCCUAGAGUAUGUUUCCACUUGUGCUGAACUGAAGAUAGAACAAAAACACUUGCAUUCUAAGAAAGUACAGAGAUGUAGAAGAUGUAGAUGAAAGUGCCAUUGCAGUAUUUAUGUAGAAUAAAAUACAAUUGCAGUAUAUGCUAGCAACAGGUUGCAGUAUAUAUGUAGAACAAUAACCCUUCCAGAAUGUCAUCAAAUAACUACCAUUUCUGUCUUCAUGAUUUUUGCCAUUCAAUAGUUGCAUAUGGGGAAUUCAAAAAGCACGGUUGGCGAACAUCAACCUGAAGAUGACGUAACUACAGGUCUUACAAGCGGGAGAAGUGAUGCAGAACACAAUGCGAGCAUCAUACCCGUAGCUGAAAUUGUUGAUAACGUCUACUCGACGGAAUCAGUCCUUACGGGCGGGAUAAAUGUUGGAGACUACAAUGCAAACUUCAUACCCUUACAUGCAGGUAUAAGACUGUGUCAAGAUUGCUGCUAAUGUUUCGUGCAUACCGUAUAUUUUGUUGAUUGCUAAGAUGUAGGGCGGGAACCUCCAAACGACGGGAUUCCGUCGUAUUCUGAGAAUAAUAAGGAUGGUACGACUAAGCUACGAGAUGAUACUCAAGGUAUUCACAGGCAUGCUUAUACAGCUUCCAAAUCGACAUCUCCCAGAUGAGCUUAAUGGGCUUUGUGGUUUUUACGCUUAACGUAAUGCAGAUGACAAAACUUCCGAGCAGCAUGCAACAGUAGCUGUAUUUAAUGAAGAAAAAAAAAUGUUGGCGAAACAAGGGAGCAGUUCAACGCACUGAGGCGUGAAUCUUAUCGGAAGAAAAAAGAGGAGGAUAUGGUCAGGUUACAAGAGUAUAAUCAGCC